rnacentral:lncRNA from 1 species
UCACCACUGCGGGAGCUUAGCUCGCUGACGAUGUAAGUGAACUAUUCAUUUCGUAUUUUUUAUGUAUAUGUGACCUUGUGUUUAUUAAAUGAAUAACUCAUCUUUUUUGGUGUUUCCUGCUGCAGCACAUCAAUCUAGCCAUGGACUUGCUGCGAGAUCGAGCUCAAAGACAUCCAAAAUCAUUUGAUGUCCAUGGUCGAGUCAUAUUAAACACCGAGUUCCUGCGUGCCGUUACCAUAGAGUAUCAGUCGCUCGAACUUAUGGGUAACAAGUACACGGUGCCAGAAUAUAUGCUCGAGUGGGUGAUAGGACUGUCACCGAGUGUCGGGGGAAAAUCAUGGGAGGAUUGUA